AACGCGAAGAACCUUACCUGGGCUCGAACGACUGGUGGUAGUCUGGAUGAAAGUCUAGGCGACCCGCAAGGGAGCCAGCCGAGGUGCUGCAUGGUUGUCGUCAGCUCGUGUCGUGAGAUGUUGGGUUAAGUCCCGCAACGAGCGCAACCCCUAUCCUGUGUUGCUACCCGCAAGGGAGGACUCUCAGGAGACUGCCGCGGAUAACGUGGAGGAAGGUGGGGUCGACGUCAAAUCAUCAUGGCCUUUAUGUCCAGGGCCACACACGUGCUACAAUGGCGUAUACAACGGGAAGCAAGACCGCAAGGUGGAGCAAAUCCCUCAAAGUACGCCUCAGUUCAGAUUGUGGGCUGCAAUUCGCCCACAUGAAGGCGGAAUCGCUAGUAAUCGCAGAUCAGCAGGCUGCGGUGAAUACGUUCCCGGGCCUUGUA
rnacentral:rRNA from 1 species